AGCAGCCGCGGUAAUUCCAGCUCCAAUAGCGUAUAUUAAAGUUGUUGCAGUUAAAAAGCUCGUAGUUGAAUUUCGGGGUUAGUAGGCUGGUCGUGCCACUGGUACGUACUGGUCUCACUGAUUCCUCCUUCCUGAUGAACUGUAAUGCCAUUAAUUUGGUGUUGCAGGGAAACUGGACUGUUACUUUGAAAAAAUUUAGAGUGUUUAAAGCAAGCUAACGCUUGAAUACAUUAGCAUGGAAUAAUGAAAUAGGACGUCCGAUCCUAUUUUGUUGGUUUCUAGGAUUGACGUAAUGAUUAAUAGGGAUAGUUGGGGGCAUUAGUAUUCAAUUGUCAGAGGUGAAAUUCUUGGAUUUAUUGAAGACUAACUACUGCGAAAGCAUUUGCCAAGGAUGUUUUCAUUAAUCAAGAACGAAAGUUAGGGGAUCGAAGACGAUCAGAUACCGUCGUAGUCUUAACCAUAAACUAUGCCGACUAGGAAUCAGACGAUGUUAAUUUUUUUCAAAUGACUCGUUUGGCAC
rnacentral:rRNA from 1 species